rnacentral:lncRNA from 1 species
GAGAGUUGCUCAUGAUUUGUGCAGACAAAGGAGGACACCGACCAUGCUCCCUUCCCGUGAAGCACACGCUGAGUAUCAGACCAUGUGCCACCACAGGCAGAAAUGAGCUGAUGGGUAGAAGAGACUGGGUCCUUGCUUUGCCUCACUGUGGCUCCCAGCUCUCAGAAGCCUUGCAUGCCUCAGGCUCCACGGCAUCUGCACUGACCCGUGAUCCGGGAUAAACGGGAAGACGGCGAUGUUUCUAAGUUUGGUAGUUUUCUUUUUAAGCCUAAAUUCUCUUUCCCAUUAAAGUGGCUGGUUUUAUCUAA